rnacentral:rRNA from 1 species
UACGUAGGGGGCUAGCGUUGUCCGGAAUCAUUGGGCGUAAAGCGCGUGUAGGCGGUCCGGUAAGUCCGCUGUGAAAGUCGGGGGCUCAACCCUCGAAUGCCGGUGGAUACUGUCGGGCUUGAGUACGGAAGAGGCGAGUGGAAUUCCUGGUGUAGCGGUGAAAUGCGCAGAUAUCAGGAGGAACACCAAUUGCGAAGGCAGCUCGGUGGGACGUUACUGACGCUGAGACGCGAAAGCGUGGGGAGCAAACAGG